CGGCAAUAGUCUUUCCACCAUUAAGUAUUAUUCCACACCAUUAUAAAAAGUUUAUAAUGUCCAUAAUGUUCGGAGAUGCAUCUCUGAAUAAUAUUCGGAGAUGCAUCUCUGAACGCGUCAAUUUGAGCUAUUUUUCAUACCAAAAUGAAGAAAUACCCCUUUGUGUGUGUGAAAAGCUCAUCUGAAAAUACAUCCCCAUAAAUAUCAUUUAUUCAAAAGUCAGUGGAUGGUCUGGAAAUGCAUCUUCAAACACUUUUGUUUUACAUCUCGCGUCAUAUCUUCCUUCUUUCUCCUUCAUUUUCUCAAAAAGUUCCGAAAACAAUGUUUGAGCUAUGCAACAUUGAACUUUCUCAUCCAUUUAUCCAAACAUCAUUCAUUGGAGUUCUGCAACAUUGAAACAUCUCCUACUUUUCAGCAUCUCAAAUAUUCAACCUACUUCUCAUCAUUUCGAUUAGAUAAGUAUUUCAAAAUUUAAUCUAUUUUUAUUUUUUGAUUUGUAAAUAGUUGUUUAGGCUACUUUAGAUGUAUUAGGUACAAUAGGCAGUAGUGUAAACGAAACUGUAGGCUAUCUCAAACAUGCAUUGAAUGUUUUUGGGACUGGUAGGGCAGAAAAUGGGUUGCUGCCAUAGGAGAAAAAUUGCAGGUUUGUUUAGAGAUGCUUCUCCGGAUUUGCUCUGCAUAUUUCUCAGAGAUGCAUCUUCGGAUUGUACUCAGGCAAAAAUUUGAAGGAUUUUGCGGAAUUUGUCAAUUUCUCCUAACAUGUUGUUUAUAUUUGGUUGUGUUUCUAACGCAGAUGCAAUGACUGAAAACAACGCUGGAUAGAUUAGGCUCGCACAUGUGUCUGGAACUACGUCAGUACGACUUGAGAGGGUCACGGGACCGAGGAUCAGGAGGCCACAAGUUAUUGAUAACUCAUUCAAUGGUGCAUCUACUUUGCAACAUUGACCAUCUAGUUCUUGUAUCUGAAUCUCUCAGACCUCUCAGGCAUAUGAUACGACAGAAUUUGAAGUUCCUGUCGAUCCUGAUGCCCCAAUGGAGAGUUAUCCAAAAGACCCAUUUGAUACCUCCUUACUUCAUCUUUAUGUAGUCCAUGUUGCUAGGCAUGUCUGACUUGGAGAGGAGCGUGAUUGUUUGAAAUUUCUUACCUAGGGCCAGAAGAUUUUGGAGCUGCCACAAUCCACAGUUGUUUGGUUCGUUGAUGUUAUCCGUUAUUACGGGCUUGCUGGUUUUAGUUCUUCGGUUUACAUGACCAUAAACCAUGGAAUGCUGACAGCUUUUGCUAAGAGGUGGAUUUCAGAGACGUCGUCUAUCCACCUACCUAUAGGUCUGGUGUGAUGACUUAUGCUUGGAAUUGGUUCAUGGCUUCAAAAAUGUGAUAUGGAGGCAUCAUGAUGGAAAAGGCCAAAAGCAUGGUUUGCUUGCUAAUGAAGUAAUCUUGGAGUUGGAUUCAAAAGAGAAUAUGGGAGAAUGAAGAGUCAAAGUGGGGAUUAGGGUUAUAAAAUAGGUGAGUUGACUUUGGUCAAAGUUGACCAAAAAGUCAACUGUUGGUCCAAAUUCAAAAUUUUCUUGUAAUUUUUUGUAUGGAUUCUUUGUAAGUCAUACUUGUAUGAAUGAAAUGGUCCUUUUGAUGAAAAACAUUUUUUGGAUUCAAUGAAACAAAGUCCUACUUUCAAAUA